rnacentral:rRNA from 1 species
UACGUAGGGUGCAAGCGUUGUCCGGAAUUAUUGGGCGUAAAGGGCUCGUAGGCGGUCCAUCGCGUCGGGGAGUGAAAAGCUGGGGCUUAACCCCAGUCCUGCUUCCGAUACGGGUGGACUAGAGGUAGGUAGGGGAGAACGGAAGUCUGGUGUGAGCGGUGAAAUGCGCAGAGUAUCAGGAGGAACACCGGUGGCGAAGGCGGUCUCUGGGCCUUACCUGACGCUGGAGGAGCGAAAGCCAUGGGGAGCAAACAGG